UGUACACACCGCCCGUCGCUACUACCGAUUGAAUGGCUCAGUGAGGCCUUCGGACUGGCCCAGGGAGGUCGGCAACGACCACCCAGGGCCGGAAAGUAGGUCAAACUCGGUCAUUUAGAGGAAGUAAAAGUCGUAACAAGGUUUCCGUAGGUGAACCUGCGGAAGGAUCAUUA
rnacentral:rRNA from 1 species